GAUAUCUCUUAUAAUAACCUUGUGAUUCCUUCAAUAUACCCAUGGUUGUCUAACAUCAGUCGAUAUAUUGAAAAAUUGACCCUCUCUUCCAACCUUUUACAAGGUUCAACUCUAGCUGAAAUUGGGAACAUGAUUUCUCUUCAAGAGCUUUAUCUUUCUAAUGCUACAAUUGUGGGUCCUAUUCCAAAAUCCUUCGGAAACAUGUCCGAUUUGCAUUUUUUAGACCUAUCGGACAACAAUAUCAGCGUACCACUUCCUGACUUGAUUCAAAAUCUAUCUGGUUACACGGAAAAAUCACUGGUGACUUUAAGGUU
rnacentral:misc_RNA from 1 species